AGCCCACCCCCUUCCUCCCAUUAGAAAGUGGAAUAAACACGUUGAGCAACCUUGCCCCUUGACUCUGGGAUAAGCGCUGGAAACGGCGUCUAAUACUGGAUAUGAGACGUGACCGCAUGGUCUGCGUUUGGAAAGAUUUUUCGGUUGGGGAUGGGCUCGCGGCCUAUCAGCUUGUUGGUGAGGUAAUGGCUCACCAAGGCGUCGACGGGUAGCCGGCCUGAGAGGGUGACCGGCCACACUGGGACUGAGACACGGCCCAGACUCCUACGGGAGGCAGCAGUGGGGAAUAUUGCACAAUGGGCGAAAGCCUGAUGCAGCAACGCCGCGUGAGGGUGACGGCCUUCGGGUUGUAAACCUCUUUUAGCAGGGAAGAAGCGAAGUGACGGUACCUGCAAAAAAGCGCCGGCUAACUACGUGCCACAGCCGCGGUAAUACGUAGGGCGCAAGCGUUAUCCGGAAUUAUUGGGCGUAAAGAGCUCGUAGGCGGUUUGUCGCGUCUGCUGUGAAUCCCGAGGCUCAACCUCGGGCCUGCAGUGGUACGGCAGACUAGAGUGCGGUAGGGGAGAUUGGAUUCCUGUGUACGGUGAAUGCGCAGAUAUCAGGAGGACACGAUGGCGAAGCAGAUCUCUGGGCCGUACUGACGCUGAAGACGAAAGGUGGGGAGCAAACAGCUAGAUUCCCUGGUAGCCACCCUUAACGUUGGGACUAUUGG
rnacentral:rRNA from 1 species